UUACUAGAAGUCACGUACAGUAAGGUAGAGAUGUGUCCUGUAUAAAUACCAAAGUCACUGAAGAUGGACAAGUACAGGACUCACACGACUGAGAGGAUACUAAAUCUUACCCUGGAGAUCAUCUACCUGCUGACUGGGGAGGAUUACACAGUAGUGAGGAAGACACCCAGCAGCUGUCCCCGUGUGUCAAGAGGAUUGAACAGGACCCAGAGCCACAUCACGGUGCCUCCACCUCACUCACUGAUACAUGAGAGGCACAAUGACUAGAAGAUCCUGGAACUCACGAACAAGAUCAUUCAGCUGCUGACUGGAGAGGAGGGGGAGUAUAUAGAGGAACACAGGGGUCUGUACAAGGACGUGAUGAUGGAGAAUCACCAGCCCCUCACAUCACUGGAUGGACCCAGUAACAGAGAUACCCCAGAGAGAUGUCCCCGUCCUCUGUAUUCCCAGGAUUGUACAGAGGAGAAUAACAGGAUCCCACAGGAGGAUCAGGAUGGUGGAGUUCAUUGUUCCAGAGUGGAUGUUGCCAGGACAGCAGGUCUCAUAUGGGAAAACACUUGUUUGUAAAGGUAGCCAGGCCUUCAGUGUGAAGCACCCAGCAGCGAAGCGUAAGGCUUGGUAACCGACACCCAGUAGUGUCACCUCAUGGUGGAAAAAUACUAGGUUCUAAAAGAACAAGGAGGACAACAUUAGGGGGACAUCAUGAAGUGGGACAUCUGCAGAAGCACACAUGGAGAAGACACAUGGCAUGUAGCACGGGGGCUGAUGUUAGUCACAGGACUUUGGCUAAACGGUGAUUCUCUGCCAGGCUACCUUGUGGAAGGUAUCGCCAGCGCAGGACUUAUAUGAAUUUACUCCUGCAUGGACUUAUACAAAUAUUCUCCUGUGGACUAAUCUGUUAUCACUGAUGUGUGGACUCAGUGAUAGUUCUGCUGUGUGGACCUGUUUAUCUGUAACUUCUGUGUGGAAUUGCUGUGGACCUGAAUCCUCUUCUGGGACUGACUCUAUCUGGACUGCUACCUGCAUAUCGCUUCUGAGCUACAUUUACCUUCUGUUUCCUGUGUGAUAUCUAUUCCUGUGUGCUGUGAGAAAUAAACCAUUACUUCGGUUUCA